rnacentral:rRNA from 1 species
CCCUUAGAUGUCCUGGGCCGCACGCGCGCUACACUGACGGAGCCAGCGAGCUUACCCCUUUGCCGAAAGGCAUGGGAAAUCUUUUGAAUCUCCGUCGUGCUGGGGAUAGAUCAUUGCAAUUAUUGAUCUUGAACGAGGAAUUCCUAGUAAGCGCAAGUCAUCAACUUGCGUUGAUUACGUCCCUGCCCUUUGUACACACCGCCCGUCGCUCCUACCGAUUGAGCGGUCCGGUGAAGACUCAGGAGAUGGGCGCGUGCUUGGUUCGCCAACUGCGCUGCCUGCCAAAUUUGUCUAAACCUUAUCGCUUAGAGGAAGGAGAAGUCGUAACA